GUAAGAAAAACAAACACAGCGAUGUCUGAGAUUUGUGUGAUGUCGUCUGCUACUAGUCUUUGUGUCUGAUUUACGGAACCUAGACUCCUGUAGUCUCUACAAUUCAUUGGAAACUUAAUCUUUCUCACUAACAGACCUAUUGGUACUUAAUCUUUUGUUUUGGAAUCAAACCACUUUUGUCUAUAUUCUCGUGGUUUGUAUUAACCUUACGAAUCGAUGAUUGGAUAACACUUGAGAACAACAGUUUCUGGUUGACCGGUUGUUUUAAUUGUCUGCUUGACUGGUUGACUACAACAGCUGGUACAACUUCUGCCCUCUUACUCCAGCCAGAUGGUUUAGCUUUCCACAUGGCAGAACUAUUAUAAUUCUGAUACAUACAAUCAAAACCAUCUGACCCAUUGAUCUGCAAUCAUGGCUGAAGCCCAGGCCAUAGAAGUGCGCCAUAAAUCUUGUGGCAUCGAUCCCACCGGCGCCAAAAACCACAGGAAGGCAUUGCGUCCACUGACCAUGUCCGACAAGCCCGGGGCCAAGGACAUAAACAAGGCUGACCCCACCAUCACCAAAGUGGAACCCAUCCCGCAGACAAACUUCGCCAUCGCCAUGCUGGUCAUGUUCUGUUUUAACCUCCCCUUCGGCGCCCUGGCUCUGUAUUUCUCCCUCCGAGCAGCGGCGGCUUACAGGGAUGGAGACAAAUCGAAGGGGGCCUUCAGGUCGAGGGCGUCCAUUCUUUUAAGUCUCUUCGGGAUUAUGCUGACCAUGGUGAUCGUCUGCAGCGUGGUGACCUACAUUGCCGUCCACAAACACAGUAAACGAAGCCAAAGAAAGCCUAACGCUUCCGCCCUAGGAUUUUGAUGGUCAAAAAAAGUCUAGUUCUUAAAUUAGCGCUUUGGAUCUCGACCCAAUAUAUCUGACUCGGGAAAGACGAAUACUUGUGCUUUGAUAAAAAAAAAUUCAUGAAUGUGUCUUUGAUUUGAUCGAAAAAACUAAUUCUAGUUCUUCCAUUUCAUCUUUAUUAUUCUACUCUCACUACCAAUUGGGCUAAAGACUGAACUAAAUUUUGGGAAAUUAGCAACAAAAAACUAGCAACACUGGUUUAAUCGUCUGGAGAAUCUCAAAGUCUAGAGGUGAUCUAAAAGUCUAAAGUGAUCAAACAGUCUAAAGUGAUCUAAAAGUCUAGAGGAUCUUAGAAGUUUAUAACUCUGCAUGAUCUGAAAAGUCUAGGAUGAUUUUAGAGCUCUGCAUGGUCUACUAUUCUAAAACGUAAAUCUAAAUGAACAGAAAGUCUAAUUGGUCUAGAAAGUCUAGUUGAUCUAAAAGUCUGAAAGUCUAGUUGAUCUAAAAGUCUAAAAAGUCUAGUUGAUCUAAAAGUCUAGAAAGUCUAGUUGAUCUAAAAGCCUAAAAAGUCUAGUUGAUCUAAAAGUCUAAAAAGUCUAGUUGAUCUAAAAGUCUAGAAAGUCUAGUUGAUCUAAAAGCCUAAAAAGUCUAGUUGAUCUAAAAGUCUAAAAAGUCUAGUUGAUCUAAAAGUCUAGAAACUCUACAUCAACUCUCCAACACUGAGGUCAGAUGUCAGAGAAAAAAAAACGAGAUAUAUUCGAUCUAAAAAAAAACCAUCAAGAUCGAUAUGUUCUGGAAUUAGAAGACAGGAAAACAUUACAGACAUAUUUAUAAGUGUGACAUACUGAUUACUGUGACAUAUUGAUUAUUGUGAUAUAAUGAUUAGUGUGACAUCAUUAUUAGUGUGACAUAUUGAUUAGUGUGACAUAUUGCUUAGUGUAACAUACUGAUUAGCGUGAUAUACUUAUUAGUGUGACAUACUGAUUAGUGUGACAUAUUGAUUACUGUGACAUACUGAUUAGUGUGACAUAUUAAUUAGUGUGACAUAUUGAUUACUGUGACAUAUUGAUUAGUGUGAUAUAUUGAUAGUGUGACAUAUUGAUUAGUGUGACAUAUUGAUUAGUGUGACAUGUUGAUUACUGUGACAUAUUUAUUAGUGUGAUAUAUUGAUUACUGUGACAUACUGAUUAGUGUGACAUAUUGAUUGUGUGACAUAUUGAUUAGUGUGACAUAUUGAUUACUGUGACGUACUGAUUAGUGUGACAUAUUGAUUAGUGUGACAUAUUGAUUACUGUGACAUAUUGAUUAGUGUGACAUAUUGAUUAGUUAGACAUAUUGAUUAGUGUGACAUAUUGAUUAGUGUGACCUAUUGAUUACUGGGACAUACUUAUUAGUGUGACAUAUUGAUUACUGUGACAUACUGAUUAGUGUCACAUAUUGAUUAGUGUGACAUAUUGAUUAGUGUGACAUAUUGAUUAGUGUGACAUACUGAUUAGUGUGACAUAUUGAUUAGUGUGAUAUAUUGAUUAGUGUGACAUAUUGAUUAGUGUCACAUACUGAUUAGUGUGACAUAUUGAUUAGUGUGAUAUAUUGAUUAGUGUGACAUAUUGAUUAGUGUGAGUUCGAACAAAAACAAAUCGUGUGGCCGUAGUAUUUCGAACUGGAAGGAACAAUUAAUUAAGACAAAGAAAGAAAAGUUGUUCCCCCACCUGUACAUUGUUUAUAGACACAACAGCAAUACGUGUGCUUACAAAAAAAAUGUUUUUUUUCCUCCUUUCCGCCCAAGUCAUUUCGACUUCCAAGCAAUAAUACCAAGAAUGACGUCAUCGAGGGUAAACAUUUCCUAGUUUGUGUGUUGUUGUUGUUUUUUUAUUUGAAGCUAUGCACGGGAGGUAAUUCGACAGUACGAUGUGAAAUUGUCAUGUGGAGGAAAUAUUGUAUACUCAUUUCGAGAGUAAAGUGUAGCAGCCGUAUUUUGAAUGUACAAAAUGUGUAUCUGUUAUCUUGUGUAAAUAUUAAGUGAAAAUUGCCCAAUUAUUUAUCGUCAGAUAUGUUGGUAUAAGAGCAAAAAUAUGUUCUACUAGUAGUGGUUUUAGAACAAUUUAUGCAAAUUAGUGUUCACCAUAUCUAGAAAAAAACCAUUUCAGAAAUGUUUUACCUUACGCUAUAGUUGUUUAGCGCUAUAUACCACUAUCAACUGUGGCUCCCAUAAUUAUAUAGGGCUACAAUCUACAACUUACAAAUCAGUGUUCUAUUUAGACCUGUCUCACUGAUUGUAUUGAAUAUUCAAAAGGCAGGAGGGAAAUACAAUGUUGAAAUGUGUACAGUAUAAGAUAAUACGCUUUUUUAUUUUAGUGUACUGCUAGCGCUGUUAUAAAACCGCAGAUUUGUAUAAUAAACUCCCUUAACAAUUGAAUGUUAGAUACUGCUUACAUUAGAGAACUGCUUACACUAAAGAUUGCUUACAUAAAGCAUACUGAUUACAUAAAACAUACUGCUUACGUAAGACAAACUGCUGAUAUUUAAAAAAAAAAAAAAAUUCUCAAAACGAGACUAACUUGAACAAAUUAAAAUAAAAGUUUCGUUCAUCCAUAGCUCAGUUUCUGUUUCUUGUGUAAAAGAAUUUGCCUGAAUUGUACAUAAAAUUUCUGCUAACAGUUAUGCAGCUAACAUCUGGGACUGCGCUAAUCAAUUCGAUCUAGUUUGGACUCGAGAGUAUCAUAGCAUUAGGUAAUGAAGCAAAAAAAUUGGGUCGUGUAAAAAAAAAUAUGUUUCAUAAAAAUAAAAUGAACAACUUGAGUUCAAGAACAAAUGACAAAAUCUUUGAGUUCAUCUCUAACAAAAAUGUUUCUAACAUCAGAUGUUAUGUCUGGUCUCUAUACAUAAAGUUAUAAAGAAAAUUAAAAUUAAUAUUACUAAAAGUAACGACACAUCGUUGUGCUGACCACCCAGCGCAAUCGUAGACUGAUAACACAUCUGCACUCCUUUUGCCUGAUUGACCCUCUUGUCCUAAAUAAAGUUAAUCAGCUCGCUGUUGUACUAGUAACUGGAAUAUUUAUAGGCAUCUGUAAAGGGCUGAUAACUAGCUACCGUAGAAGUUGGGCACUUGACAGACAAGAAGUAACCAUGGUGAUUUUAUUUGUUUACAGUUAAGUUUCUCGUUUCAUCUUUUUAACGUAAAUAUAGGUCAUAGAUGGGUCGACUUAUCCACGCUAAAUAUCAAAUUCUUCAUUAAUAUUCUGCUCAGCCUUACAAUUAUAAUUACUAUUAUUUUAGAACAGAACUAAUGACACUGUCUGGAUCGAGUUAGAGAAACAUAUACUACAAUAGGAUCUCUAACAGUGUCCACUGACGAAUUUUCUGGUUAUGUGGCAGAUCUACGGCAGUACCGCCCUUUGACAGGCAACGAGAAUCUUCUUCGAUUUCUCUUAGAUGUGUUUGCGACGCCAAUUGUCACUAUACCACCCUAGGUUGUUAUAACAACAUGGUAUAUUGUUAUUUUAGAUAACUUCCUAAAGUCGCCUAAUCUCUAAGCUUAGAAGUUCAAAUGUUGUUUUUUCUUCAUUUUCAGACUUUGUUAUAUUGUGAGAUAAUGGUACCGCGACGUCCAUGACCUUUGCAGAUUUUUUCUUCUAUCUAUUGAGAUUAAAAUCCACCUUUAAUGUCCCCUUUUCAGAUCUUGCGAUCUAUAGGGCUGAUGUUUCUUUGGCCAACGGAUAACGAGCAGGGCGUCAUCUUUUCAUUUCUUAUAUAAUUCAGAAGUUACUUCAAAAAAGAUGAUUACGUCCUACGCGUCAUGCAUCUAUUUAUGCAUAUUAACCAAUGACUAAACUCCCCAAGUCACUGGUUUUCCUGGCUAGCUCAGGCAACCCAUUCCAUGCUCUAAUAGCACUAGGGAAGAAGGAGUAUUUGUACAAAUUUGUCCUAGCAUAUGGGACGAGGAAUGUGCCUUUAUCUUUGUGUCUUUCAGAGUAUUUUAUUAGAUUUUGUUUUUGUAUAUGAAGAUUAUGGUUCAGUGUUUUAUGUAUAAUUGGUACUUUACUUUUGUGGCCAACACAACGACCAACCACCUUUACUUUCCCCCAACUUAAGUCAGGUAGAGUUGGGUGGACUCAAGGGCGUCCUAAAAAAUCAGAAAUGUAAAAUAAAUACGCCGUUCAAAUUCAAAUUCCUAGUUAGUUUUUAUUUUAAUUUUUGUUUACAUGCAGGAUCUCAACAUCUAAUGGGCAAAUCUAUCUCACAUUUGUACCAACGGUUACUAUAUGUUAAAAAACUUUCUUUACCUUUGCUGGCAAAUAGUGAUGGUAGCAUUAGGUAUCAGGUUCGAGUGCCUCCUGCAUGUCUUCUGAUGGCACAUAAUUAAGUCUAGUGUUGUUAAUAAUUUUUUUGCCUUUUUUUGUGUAAUGAUAGAUAACACUUUUAGUUCUUAUACUUAUCUAUCAGAUUUUCUUUUAUUAACGUGAGUAAAGUUCCCCUUACAGACCUUGUGAUCUAUAGGGCAGAUGAUGUAAAGGGCAACUGCUUCUGUGGUCCACGGUUAACAAGGGUGUCAUGUGGCCAGCACAAUGACCAACCGCCUUUACUUAGGUACCCAUUAGAGCUGGGGUGGACUCAUAGGCGCCCUUUAAACCCGAAAUUAAAAAUACCCCAGUCUUCACCAGGAUUCGAACCCGGGACCACUCGGCUCGGAAGCCAAGCGCUUUACCACAAAGCCACCGCGCCUCCCUUUCUUUUAUUGCCUAGUAGUUUUUAAAAAAUGAGAAUGGAGUGGGGGAGGAACUUUUUGACCAUCUGAAAGUUCUUAAGAAAUAUAGGCAGGAUAGAUUUUAUAGUGGCUGGGAUAACGCAGCGAGCUAGCAGCAGACGUCAGCUAAGUGGCUGAAGUGGCUGCAAAUUAAAAGAAAGUGCCGAGAGUAUAGACACUAUCUUAAAACGAGGCGCUCUUUCAUCUUUAUUUUGACGUCAUUUAUCGGCAUCUUUGAUGGGCUUAGAGAGUAUGUCACGUUGUAUGAAUGCUUUACUAUUGUAGAGUUCAAAGGUCAAGUGGGAAUUUAAAAUAUCUACGGCACUUACUGAUAGAAUAAUGUCUUGUAGAUAGGGUUAGAAUAGUAAAAAAAAAAGUUUCCCCUUUCAGAUCAUGCGUUCUAUAAGGCAGAUGAUGUAAAGGCCAUCUGUUUUCAUGUCCGACGAUUAACGAUGGUGUCAUAUAUCCAGCACAACGAUCUUUCCUUCCCCUACAAAAUUAGAGUUGGUUGGACUUUUUAGGGUGCCCCUGAGUCCACCCAAACUAAAAUGGGUACAUGGCUUUAGUUGGGGAAAGUAAAUGUGGUAGGUCUCGCGCUGGCCACAUAACACCACGGUUAACCGUUGGCCAAAGAAACAGUUGACCUUAACAUCAUCUGCCCCAUAGAUCGCAGGGUCUGAAAGUGAAACUUUACUUUUUUUUUUUGGACUUUCUAUAUGUGGUUAUUACUAAUGCUAGAGAUAAUGGUAUGUGGAAAUAACAUUCGUUUUAUAUUUGUUUAUAUUAGCAUAGACGUUUAGAUGCAGCUAUAGAAAGACUGGAGUCAUGCAUCCUCUCUCUCCCCAGCCCCCAGGCUCCACCCAGUCCAUCCAACUAAUGAUGCAUUCAAUAUGUCUGCCUCACAGAUGCAAAAUGUCGUUUUAUGGGUAAAAUUUUGGAGAGGAGUUAUUGGAGAGGAUCGGGGUGGGGCAUUACAUUCUACGGGGUAUCUGACAUGGAA